GUGCCAGCCGCCGCGGUAAUACGGAGGGUGCAAGCGUUGUCCGGAUUUAUUGGGCGUAAAGAGCUCGUAGGCGGUUCAACAAGUCGGUCGUAAAAGUUUAGGGCUCAACCCUAAAAUGUCGAUCGAUACUGUUGUGACUAGGAUACGGCAGAGGUGAGUGGAAUUCCGAGUGUAGCGGUGAAAUGCGUAGAUAUUCGGAGGAACACCAAUUGCGAAGGCAGCUCACUGGGCCGCUAUCGACGCUGAGGAGCGAAAGCUAGGGGAGCAAACAGGAUUAGAUA
rnacentral:rRNA from 1 species